AACGAACGCUGGCGGCGUGGCUAAGACAUGCAAGUCGAACGGACCAGUAAUUUAUUAUUGGUCAGUGGCGAAAGGGUGAGUAAUGGAUAGGUAACGUACCCCGAGCUCUGGGAUAGCCAUCCGAAAGGAUGGGUAAUACCGGAUAACAUCACGGGUCGAUAGGCUCGUGAUCAAAGAUUCAUCGGCGCGGGAGCGGCCUAUCUCCUAUCAGCUAGUUGGUGAGGUAACGGCCCACCAAGGCGAAGACGGGUAGCGGGACUGAGAGGUUGGCCCGCCACAUCGGAACUGAGACACUGUCCGGACCCCCACGGGGGGCUGCAGUAACGAAUCUUGGGCAAUGGGCGAAAGCCUGACCCAGCGACGCCGCGUGCGGGAGGAAGUCCUUCGGGAUGUAAACCGCUGUCAGGGGUAUGAAAGUCCGCUUCGGCGGAUUGAUCUAACCCAGAGGAAGUCACGGCUAACUCUGUGCCAGCAGCCGCGGUAAGACAGAGGUGGCUAGC
rnacentral:rRNA from 1 species